ensembl:lncRNA
CUGUACCAGGGGCUCCGCGGACCCCCACGCCCUCCCGUGCCCUGCCGGACACUACUGCCCCCGGGGAAGCCCCGAACCCCUGCCCUGCCCCGUCGGAACCAUCAAAGAUUCCCAGGGUGGAGUUACCAUGGAAGCUUGUAGGCCGUGUCCACCAGGACUCUACUGUGCCCAACCGGCCCUCACUCAGCCCACUGGUCAGUGUACUGAAGGCCACUACUGCCCUGAAGGACAGACCUGCGGUACACCCAAACAACACGUCUGUCAGCCUGGACACCAUUGUGAGAAGGGCAGUGUCAGAGAGACAGCAUGUCAGCCAGGCAGCUAUCAGCCCAGAGAAGGGCAGGGCAGCUGUGAGACAUGCCCUGCUGGCUCCUACUGUCCAGACCAAGGUACGACCCUUCCGGUCGGCUGUGACAGGGGAUAUUAUUGUAUCCGUGGAUCGGAAAAUCAGCGCUCUUGUCCCGCGGGGACCUACAGCAACCAAUCUGGAUUGGUGAAUGAAUCACACUGCCUGCGCUGUGACCCCGGCUAUUUCUGUAAAGAAGCAGGCAGGACGUCCCCGAGCGGCCCCUGUGCAGCGGGCUACGUGUGCACCGGGGGGGCCACUGAAGCAACGCCGGCCGACCGCCUCACC